ACUCCUACGGGAGGCAGCAGUGGGGAAUAUUGGACAAUGGGCGAAAGCCUGAUCCAGCCAUGCCGCGUGGGUGAAGAAGGCCUUAGGGUUGUAAACCCCUUUCAGCGGGGAAGAUAAUGACGGUACCCGCAGAAGAAGUCCCGGCUAACUCCGUGCCAGCAGCCGCGGUAAUACGGAGGGGACUAGCGUUGUUCGGAAUUACUGGGCGUAAAGCGCACGUAGGCGGAUUUGUAAGUCAGGGGUGAAAUCCCGGGGCUCAACCUCGGAACUGCCUUUGAUACUGCAAAUCUCGAGUCCGGAAGAGGUAAGUGGAAUUCCUAGUGUAGCGGUGAAAUGCGUAGAGAUC
rnacentral:rRNA from 1 species